rnacentral:rRNA from 1 species
ACUAGCCAUGCAGUCUAACCCUAGGACUUCCUGGGGGUGGCAGACUGCUGAGUAACACGCAGUCAAUCUACCCUAUAGAAGGGGAUAACCUCGAGAAAUUGAGGACAAUACCCUAUAUUCCUCUUAUGCUGGAAUGCUUAGAGGUUUAAAUGGGCGGUGAAUUGGAGCCGUUCCGCUGUAGGAUGAGACUGCGGGGGAUUAUGGUUGUUGGUAGGGUAAUGGCUUACCAAGCCGAUAAUCUCUAGGGGCCAUGAGAGUGGUGGCCCCCAGAAGGGCACUGAGACAAGGGCCCUAGCCCUACGGGGUGCAGCAGGCGCGAAACCUCUACAAUGCUGGAAACAGUGAUAGGGGGACUCCGAGUGGCGUCGGCUAAGCUGGCGUCUUUUGCCAAGUGUAAAUAGCUUGGAGAAUAAGGGUGUGGGCAAGACUGGUGGCAGCCGCCGCGGUAACACCAGCGCCUCAAGUGGUACCCACGAAUACUGGGCCUAGAGCGUUCGUAGCCGGCCAUGUAAGUCUUCUGUGAAAUAGUAGGGCUUAACCCUACUGCGCGCAGGAGAUACUGUUUGGCUUGGGAACGGGGGAGGUCAGGAGUACGCCCGGGGUAGGGGUAAAAUCCUUUGAGCCUGGGCGGACUACCAGUGGCGAAGGCGCCUGACCAAAACGUGUCCGACGGUGAGGAACGAAAGCUGGGGGAGCGAACGGGAUUAGAUACCCCGGUAGUCCCAGCCGUAAAUGAUGCAGACUGUGGUGUUGCUUUCAGAGUUAUCUGCAGCAGUGCUGUAGCGUAGGUGUUAAGUCUGCCGCCUGGGGAGUAGCGGCCGCAGGCUGAAA